rnacentral:tRNA from 1 species
GGCCCCAUCGUCUAUGGGUUAAGAUCCCGGACCUUCACUCCGGGGAACAGGGUUCGACUCCCUGUGGGGCUA